UGUAGAUUGCUUUAGGAAGUAUGGACAUUUUAACUAUGUUAAUUCUUCUAAUCCAAGAGCAUGGAGACUGACAUCAGCAUCAUGGUGGAGUGUGCUUGCCUGGUGAACUCUCCCUUCCAGGAUACAACAAAAAGGACAUUCAUAUUCCAACAUAGGACAUCCACACAACACAAAAGAUGUCUGAGAGACCCAUGCAGCCAUACAUCAGAAAGUGGAGGUGCUGGAGCCCUCCCUUGGAGGAGGUGGAAAGAGCACUAUUCACAAUAGACAUGGAAACAACCCAAGUGCCCAUCGACUGAUGACUGGAUAAAGAAGAUGUGGUGUAUAUACAAUGGAAUACCGCUCAGCCAUAGAAAAGACAAAAUCAUCCUAUUUGCAACAACAUGGAUGGACAUGGAGGGUAUUGUGCUAAGCGAAAUAAGCCAGACUGAGAAAGACAAACAUGAGAUGAUUUCACUCACAUGUGGAAUAUAAACAAACACAUGGACAAAGAAAACAAUUCAGUGGUUACCAGGGAAGAGGGGUGAGGAGUGGGCACAGCUGGUGAAGGGGAGCACUCAUGUGGUGACAGACAAUAAAUAACGUGCAGCUGAAAUUUCACAAUGAUGUAAACUAUUAUGAACUCAAUAAAAAACAAAAGAUAAAAAUUAAAUAAAGGGAGAGACUAACUGUCCUCAAGCCUGGGUUGAAGGUGACAGAAGGUGAGGGGAACCAUCUGAGGAGUUCAGUAAGCCAAAAGAUCUAAGGAAAGUGAUCAUAGUGUCUUGAUCUCCAAUUCCUACAGGAAAGCCUGAAAAAAGCAAAAUAGUGUUAAAAUUAACCAAGUUGGCUCAGUGUUGAUGGCUCAGUAUAUAUAAGAUGUUAAAGGCUUAAGAAUCUCUCACAGCAAUACAAUACAUUAGAUGUUAGAAAACCCCCGCUGACUUUUUGUACCUGUCACAUGACAAGUUAAUCUUUGAGUAAAUGGCCUGCUCUUUACAAAAGAG
rnacentral:lncRNA from 1 species